rnacentral:rRNA from 1 species
UACGUAGGGUGCGAGCGUUGUCCGGAAUUAUUGGGCGUAAAGAGCUCGUAGGCGGUUUGUCACGUCUGCUGUGAAAUCCCGAGGCUCAACCUCGGGCCUGCAGUGGGUACGGGCAGACUGGAGUGCGGUAGGGGAGAAUGGAAUUCCUGGUGUAGCGGUGGAAUGCGCAGAUAUCAGGAGGAACACCGAUGGCGAAGGCAGUUCUCUGGGCCGUAACUGACGCUGAGAAGCGAAAGCAUGGGGAGCGAACAGG